rnacentral:rRNA from 1 species
GCCUACGGUCAUACCACCCUGAAAGCGCCUGAUCUCGGAGCUAAGCAGGGACGGGCCUGGUUAGUACUUGGAUGGGAGACCGCCUGGGAAUACCUGGUGCUGUAGGCU